UACGUAGGGUCCAAGCGUUAUCCGGAAUCACUGGGCGUAAAGCGUGCGUAGGUGGCGUGUUAAGUGUGAUGUUAAAUCGUGGGGCUCAACCCUAUCGAUGCAUCGCAUACUGGCAUACUAGAGGGAAGCAGAGGCAAGUGGAAUUUGUAGUGUAGCAGUGAAAUGCGUAGAUAUUACAAGGAACACCAAUGGCGAAGGCAGCUUGCUGGGCUUCUUCUGACACUGAGGUACGAAAGCGUGGGGAGCGAACAGG
rnacentral:rRNA from 1 species